AGCGAACGCUGGCGGCAGGCCUAACACAUGCAAGUCGAACGAACUCUUCGGAGUUAGUGGCGGACGGGUGAGUAACACGUGGGAACGUGCCUUUAGGUUCGGAAUAACUCAGGGAAACUUGUGCUAAUACCGAAUGUGCCCUUCGGGGGGAAAGAUUUAUCGCCUUUAGAGCGGCCCGCGUCUGAUUAGCUAGUUGGUGAGGUAAAGGCUCACCAAGGCUACGAUCAGUAGCUGGUCUGAGAGGAUGAUCAGCCACAUUGGGACUGAGACACGGCCCAAACUCCUACGGGAGGCAGCAGUGGGGAAUCUUGCGCAAUGGGCGAAAGCCUGACGCAGCCAUGCCGCGUGAAUGAUGAAGGUCUUAGGAUUGUAAAAUUCUUUCACCGGGGACGAUAAUGACGGUACCCGGAGAAGAAGCCCCGGCUAACUUCGUGCCAGCCGCCGCCGUAAAAC
rnacentral:rRNA from 1 species